rnacentral:rRNA from 1 species
GAUGAACGCUGGCGGCGUGCCUAAUACAUGCAAGUCGAGCGAACGGACGAGAAGCUUGCUUCUCUGAUGUUAGCGGCGGACGGGUGAGUAACACGUGGAUAACCUACCUAUAAGACUGGGAUAACUUCGGGAAACCGUAGCUAAUACCGGAUAAUAUUUUGAACCGCAUGGUUCAAAAGUGAAAGACGGUCUUGCUGUCACUUAUAGAUGGAUCCGCGCUGCAUUAGCUAGUUGGUAAGGUAACGGCUUACCAAGGCAACGAUGCAUAGCCGACCUGAGAGGGUGAUCGGCCACACUGGAACUGAGACACGGUCCAGACUCCUACGGGAGGCAGCAGUAGGGAAUCUUCCGCAAUGGGCGAAAGCCUGACGGAGCAACGCCGCGUGAGUGAUGAAGCUCUUCGGAUCGUAAAACUCUGUUAUUAGGGAAGAACAUAUGUGUAAGUAACUGUGCACAUCUUGACGGUACCUAAUCAGAAAGCCACGGCUAACUACGUG